GGCUGCAGGAAAAUAAAGACAGAUGACAACGGGGUGGGAGUGGCAGGGGUGGGGCUGCCAUCUGAGAUAAAGUGGUCAGGGAAAUCUCUGCUGAGAUGACAGUAGCGCAGAGGCAGGACAGAAGGGAGCAAGCCAUGUAGGGGAAGGGAGCAGUCACAUAAGUGUCCCAAAGGGAGAAUGAACUUGGUCAGCUCAAGGAGAAGCCGGCGGGCCCGUGUGGCUGGAGCAGGUAGACAAGGGGGAGUGUGGCAGGAGAAGCGGCAGGACAGAGACAGGAACAGGAAGAGGACAGGGAUCCCCAGCACAGGCCACAGCCGUGACAUCCGCCAAUAUGACAGCAAUACAUGCAGUGAGCCACGACUGAGUAUGCAACGUCAUCUGAAGAUGGAGGCCACGGCCCCCGCUGACCUCUCACAGGAGGACAGGCAGGAGGAGCAGUCCGGGUGGGCCCAGAGGUGUUGCCUGCCUGGUGGAUUUCUUUUUCUCCAUGAGUUCAUGCGUGAGUCAGGCACACGUGUAACAGG